GUCAAAGUUUAUCUCUUGACUCUCCUCCUUCUAGAGGUCCAGAAACUUUGCAGCAUAGCUCCCUCUCCAGCAUUAUGAAUAAGGAUGUGAGAGACUUGAUGGUUCAAAGUAACCAUGAAAGGAAAAGGGAUAAGUUACGUAAGAAAAAAUUAAUGCAUAUUGUUGUAUUGGUUAUUGGAUUUUUGAUGUUGGUCAUGGGUGCUCAAAGGCGACGCAAAAGGUUUAUGAGAAAACAGCCUUCAAGAAGUGAAGUUGAUGAAAAGACUUAUAGAAGGAUGCUUUGGAUGAGAGUCUUAGAACAUGAGUCUACUUGUUUUGAACAGUUACGAAUGAAACCUGCUGCAUUUGAGAAGCUUUGUGCACUCUUACGAGAUAGAGGGGGGUUGGUGGUUACAAGGAAUGUCACAAUUAAAGAAGUUGUGGCGUCAUUUUUGCAUAUGCUAUGACAUAAUCUAAAAAAUAGUACUAUCAAAUCUAUAUAUGCUCGUUUAGAAGAAACCAUAAGUAGGCAAUUUCAUCAUGUUUUGCGAUCAGUAGUCAAGCUUGGAAAGUUAUACUUGAAGCAACAUGAGUUAGUUCUCAAUGAGCGGGACUUUGAGAAGUGGAGAUGAUUUCAGGUAUUAAAAUCUGAUGGUAUAUGUUUUACUUACAAAAUCAGAGUUUAUAUUACAAGUUUAAUGAGAUUUAUUAUGCAUAUUAUGGGGCACUUGGAGCACUUGAUGAGACAUUUAUUGAUCUAACGGUUCCUACUGAAGAUAAACCAAGAUAUCGAAAUAGGAAGGGUGACAUUAGUACAAAUGUCUUAGGUGUUUGUGAUGCUAAUAUGAAGUUCAUCUAUGUCCUAUCUGGUUGGGAAGGAUCUACAGCAGAUUCUAGAGUUUUACGUGAUGCUUUGACUAGGCGCAAUGGCUUAAAAAUCCAAUCAAACAAAUACUAUCUUGUGGAUGUCGGAUACACAAAUGGACCAGGGUUUCUAGCUCCUUAUCGUGGGACUAGGUAUCAUCUUAAUUUGUGAAGAGGAAACACCCCAAGGAAUCACAAGGAGCUAUUCAAUCUUCGGCACUCAUAAAUAAGAAAUACAAUUGAAAGAGCAUUUGGAUUAUUGAAGAAGCGAUGGGCAAUACUACGCACAACU